CCACUGCGUGCCACACAGCGUGCUGUGACAGUCACUUGACCCCGGUAUCUCACUGAAUCCUCCUAACAGCCCAAGAGAUAUGCUCCAAUCCACCCCUGGGGGCAGCCAGAUGAGAGCCUGCCAGAAGAAAGGACUCACCACAGGGACUACAGCUGAAAACCUGAAACGUCCUUUGGCAGGAAAGCACAAAUAUCUGGUGAGACAGGAUGAGAACAUGAAACCUCUGCUACGGCCACUGCAAGAAUAUUGGUUAUUACACAGUGUCCACACUGUGAGAACAUUGACUUUGACAUUCUAGAGGAGGGCAGAACCACAUAUAGAAGAAGCCUGGAUCCCUGAAUGACUGCAUGGAUUCAACACAGCACCUAUACACACACCUGCCCUCUGUGCCCCGAUAAUCUACACUAGAGGACGAUGUGAGCAAUACAUAAAAUGUUAUUAUGUUAAGGGAUGUAGGGGUUGUUUGUUACAGCAAUCUCACUGAUGAAUCCCAUGAGAUCUACUACAUGCCAGAAAUCAUCACAGGCAUUUUAUUUACCUUAUUCCACUUGAGCUUCUCAGCAAUCCUAAGAUAUAGGCAUUAUAUUUGGUCUAUUUUAUAAAGAAAAAAAAUACAAUUCAGAGGCAUGAAGUAACUUGUCCACUAAAGCAAUGGAGAACUGCAUUCUUCAGUCUCACUCCAUUGUUACUUGAUCUGUUUUGAUAUUACAUCAUCAGCCUGUAUAGAAGGACAUUAAAGAAAUAGCUAUAGGAAAUUGAAAUUUUUUUACUAGCACAUAGAAUUAUUAUUUAUUAUAUCACACAAAUGUCUUUUUAGGGAGAGCCAUUAAGUAAUUUUAUCUCAAGCCCAAUACCAGGAAAACUGCUUCUCUGAUCAACUGGUAUGUUUUUA
rnacentral:lncRNA from 1 species